rnacentral:lncRNA from 1 species
AGCAAGUCACUAUUAUAUCCUGGAAUAGUGGCUGUUAGCUAGAUUUUCAAAUUUUGGCUGUCAAAUCAACCCAAUCACCUCUUUUUCAAAAACGUAAAUUCCCCAAUUUAUCAACAGUAAAUUCUUGAGAAAAAAAGGCGCUCAAUGGCCAUCACUUCCUCAUCCAAGGUAUAGUAUCUUUCUCCCUUUACAAAAUGUUCGAAAUUUGAAUAUGUCGAAAACUAAGUCGGGUGUGAGAGCGUGUUUAAUUAGAAAAAGAAGUAUAUUUGUGCAUGUAUAUGUACCUAUGCUUGUAUUGUCUAACUAAUGAUUAUAAUGACUUGUUCCUGUAUACAGAUUAGCAAGGCCUCGGACAAGAAGAAGAAGACUUUCAAGAAUAAGCAUAGUGGGAGCAACCACAAACAAGU